UUGCAAGCAAUUGGCUUGGUGACGUGGCAACCUUUAAUCCAGGAUUCAUAUUUUUCUAUUUUCUCACAAUUUUGACUUUUCCCUUACUGUUACCAUUUAUUAUCCGCUACAUCCACAAAAAACAACUGAAUUUCCAUCUCCAGUAGCGGUUACAUAUACUUAUCAGAAAAUAACCCUACGGGAGAUAUCAACCUCGAUAGCGCUCAUUCCAAAAACUACAAUCAAAGUUCUGGUUCGAUGUUGGAAGCACUCAAUCCUGGUUUGGUUCUCUUCUGCGCUUUACCUCUGUUCUUCAAUCUUUCAAAGCACAAAUUUUAUGUUCUGGACGUGGUUUGAUUAUUAGAGUUCAUAUGACAAGCAAUUAAUGAAUUCCCUUUAUCUUUCUUCAUCAAUUUUGGCCUAUUAUCCAUGUCUAUAUUAUACGAGCCGAAGAGUCGCAUCAAUUACAAGCCAUGAGGUCAGCUUCUUUCCCCCCGCUAAAAUCCUUCUUCUUUUUGUAAUGCAAACGGUGGGAAAUUGGAGUCGUAGGGAUAUGGACAUGGUCAUUAAUCCUCUGUGGAAUGUGCUCAGUGAAGAACCCUUCCGACAAGAUGAAGUGAAGUGAGAAGCAAACUGGAAUUGCCAUCUCUUAUGCUACUGCCAAAGAGAUAGUUUCAUCAAUCUUGUUUUGUCGCGGCCAAACCUGACUUUUGCACAAUCCAAUAGAGUGUAAUGCACUAGCACUUCUUCAGGUAGGCAGGGAGGAGACGUUGCUCCAGAUUCCUAGAGUUGCCAGCCGGUUAAAAGCCCUCCAUUGCUCCGGAGGUGCCUAUGACAAUCUUUUGUGUACAGUUGUAUGUGUGUCAGUUCAUAGAGGCUCGUAGAUACUCGAUGUGGGUUGUAUGGUCUCAGGGAAUGGUCAUUUUGCAUGCAUGUACAUAUAUGUAUUAUUUUGCUAGCCUAUAGGGCUCAAGUAUAUACAGUACUUUUGUUUCCAAAUGAAAAUGUUUUCUUAUAAAUUAACUAUGAAGUGGAUAAUCGAUUGACAAAGAGGCUAAGGAGUAGUAACACGAGUGGUGCUCGGUGGUUAGCAC